UACGGAGGGUGCGAGCGUUGUCCGGAAUCACUGGGCGUAAAGCGUGCGUAGGCGGAUGUUUAAGUGUGAUGUUAAAUCGUGUGGCUCAACCAUAUCGAUGCAUCGCAUACUGGAUGUCUAGAGGAAGGCAGAGGCAAGUGGAAUUGGCAGUGUAGCGGUAAAAUGCGUAGAUAUUGCCAGGAACACCAAUGGCGAAGGCAGCUUGCUGGGCCUUUUCUGACGCUGAGGUACGAAAGCGUGGGGAGCGAACAGG
rnacentral:rRNA from 1 species